UACGUAGGGACCGAGCGUUGUCCGGAAUCAUUGGGCGUAAAGAGCGUGUAGGCGGCCACUUAAGUCCUGCGUGAAAUCUUGCGGCUCAACCGCAAGCGGUCGUGGGAAACUGGGUGGCUAGAGUGCGGGAGAGGAGAGUGGAAUUCCUGGUGUAGCGGUGGAAUGCGCAGAUAUCAGGAAGAACACCAAUGGCGAAGGCAGCUCGCUGGGACGGUACUGACGCUGAGACGCGAAAGCGUGGGGAGCAAACAGG
rnacentral:rRNA from 1 species